rnacentral:rRNA from 1 species
GACGAACGCUGGCGGCGUGCUUAACACAUGCAAGUCGAACGAGAAAGCACUUCGGUGUGGGUACAGUGGCGAACGGGUGAGUAACACGUGGGCAACCUGCCCUGGAGAGCGGGACAACCCGAGGAAACUCGGGCUAAUACCGCAUGAUGCGUCCUGGCGUAAGUCAGGCCGCCAAAUGGUAGCUCUUCGGAGCCUCCGCUCUGGGAUGGGCCCGCGCCGGAUUAGCUAGUUGGUUGGGGUAAUGGCCCACCAAGGCGACGAUCCGUAGCUGGUCUGAGAGGACGAUAAGCCAAGCUGGGACUGAGACACGGCCCAGCCUCCUACGGGAGGCAGGAGUAGGGAAUCUUCCACAAUGGACGAAAGUCUGAUGGAGCAACGCCGCGUGAGCGAUGAAGGCCUUCGGGUCAUAAAGCUCUGUUGUUAGGGAAGAACAAGUACCGGAGUAACUGCCGGUACCUUGACGGUACCUAACCAGAAAGCCACGGCUAACUACGUGCCAGCCGCCGCAGUAACAC